UACAGAGGGUGCUAGCGUUGUUCGGAAUCAUUGGGCGUAAAGGGCGUGUAGGCGGUUUGUUAAGUCAUGUGUGAAAUCCCUCGGCUCAACCGGGGAACGACGCAUGAAACUGGCAAGCUAGAGUACCAAAGAGGGGGGUGGAAUUCCCGGUGUAGCGGUGAAAUGCGUAGAUAUCUGGAGGAACACCGGUGGCGAAGGCGGCAUCCUGGACCGGCAUUGACGCUGAGGCGCGAAAGCUAGGGGAGCAAACGGG
rnacentral:rRNA from 1 species